rnacentral:rRNA from 1 species
UGCCAGCCGCCGCGGUAAUACGAAUGCGUCAAGCGUUGUUCGGAAUCACUGGGCUUAAAGCGCUCGUAGGCGGCUUGAUAAGUCAGAGGUGAAAGCCCACGGCCCAACCGUGGAACUGCCUCUGAUACUGUCAGGCUUGAGGACAAGAGGGGACAGUGGAAUUCUGGGUGUAGCGGUGAAAUGCGUAGAUAUCCAGGAGAACGCCGGUGGCGAAAGCGACUGUCUGGCUUGUUUCUGACGCUGAGGGGCGAAAGCUAGGGGAGCGAACGGGAUUAGAUA